UUAACUCAAAUCUGUAUGGAGUUUGGAGCGUUUGCCUACGUUUGCCGCUAGAGGUGCUGUUCCAACUGCAGACAAAUUUAUGUUA
rnacentral:pre_miRNA from 1 species